rnacentral:rRNA from 1 species
CCUACGGGAGGCAGCAGUCGAGAAUCAUUCACAAUGGGGGAAACCCUGAUGGUGCGACGCCGCGUGGGGGAAUGAAGGUCUUCGGAUUGUAAACCCCUGUCAUGUGGGAGCAAAUUAAAAAGAUAGUACCACAAGAGGAAGAGACGGCUAACUCUGUGCCAGCAGCCGCGGUAAUACAGAGGUCUCAAGCGUUGUUCGGAUUCACUGGGCGUAAAGCGUGCGUAUGCUGUUUCGUAAGUCGUGUGUGAAAGGCGCGGACUCAACCCGCGGACGGCACAUGAUACUGCGAGACUAGAGUAAUGGAGGGGGAACCGGAAUUCUCGGUGUAGCAGUGAAAUGCGUAGAUAUCGAGAGGAACACUCGUGGCGAAGGCGGGUUCCUGGACAUUAACUGACGCUGAGGCACGAAGGCCAGGGGAGCGAAAGGGAUUAGAUACCCGGGUAGUC